GAGGGAGAGAGAGAGAUCAUUUCCAAACAUUGUUUGAUAAAGUACAAACAGACACAAACUGUAAGCCAAAUCAAACAAUCAAUCAACUGGA